rnacentral:rRNA from 1 species
UACGUAGGGUGCGAGCGUUGUCCGGAAUUACUGGAGCGUAAAGAGCUCGUAGGUGGUUUGUCGCGUUGUUCGUGAAAUCUCACGGCUUAACUGUGAGCGUGCGGGCGAUACGGGCAGACUAGAGUACUGCAGGGGAGACUGGAAUUCCUGGUGUAGCGGUGGAAUGCGCAGAUAUCAGGAGGAACACCGGUGGCGAAGGCGGGUCUCUGGGCAGUAACUGACGCUGAGGAGCGAAAGCGUGGGGAGCGAACAGG